rnacentral:lncRNA from 1 species
AGAAAUACAGGCAAUUACCCUAAGAUUCACAAACCCUCUCUCUCUCUCUUCGUCAUCGUCGACCCCCUUUCACCCGAUGGGUACCGCGGAAUGACCGAUGUACCCCCACCCCGAUAUCAAAUUUACAGCGAGGUACCCCCGACACACAACCCUUAUCUCUCUCGGCUAAACAACGAAGAAGAAAACCAGCUAAUGGAAAACAAGCUCAGGACCCUAGGUACGUCCGCGAGGCGGCGGAGGAGUUGUGGGUCUACUUCUUGGCCUUCCGGGACGGGACCUUCCUGGCCGGAGCGGCGGCCUUCUUCACCGGCGUCGACCGCUUGGUGGGCGGCUUCCUGC